UGGGGAAUUUUGCACAAUGGGCGCAAGCCUGAUGCAGCGACGCCGCGUGAGGGAUGAAGGCCUUCGGGCUGUAAACCUUUUUCGCUCAUGGUCAAGCCGCAGCUUUGGGUUGUGGUGAGGGUAGUGGGUAAAGAAGCGCCGGCUAACUACGUGCCAGCAGCCGCGGUAAUACGUAGGGCGCAAGCGUUAUCCGGAAUUAUUGGGCGUAAAGAGCUUGUAGGCGGUUCGUCGCGUCUGGUGUGAAAGCCCAUCGCUUAACGGUGGGUUUGCGCCGGGUACGGGCGGGCUAGAGUGCAGUAGGGGAGACUGGAAUUCCCGGUGUAACGGUGGAAUGUGUAGAUAUCGGGAAGAACACCAAUGGCGAAGGCAGGUCUCUGGGCUGUUACUGACGCUGAGAAGCGAAAGCGUGGGGAGCGAACAGG
rnacentral:rRNA from 1 species